rnacentral:tRNA from 1 species
AAAAAUUUAGUUAAUUUAUAACAUUAGCUUGUCAAGCUGAAGUAAAUAUUAAAUAUUAAUUUUUG